GUAGGUGGCAAGCGUUGUCCGGAAUUAUUGGGCGUAAAGCGCGCGCAGGCGGUUCUUUAAGUCUGAUGUGAAAGCCCACGGCUCAACCGUGGAGGGUCAUUGGAAACUGGAGAACUUGAGUACAGAAGAGGAAAGCGGAAUUCCACGUGUAGCGGUGAAAUGCGUAGAGAUGUGGAGGAACACCAGUGGCGAAGGCGGCUUUCUGGUCUGUAACUGACGCUGAGGCGCGAAAGCGUGGGGAGCAAACAGGAUUAGAUACCCUGGUAGUCCACGCCGUAAACGAUGAGUGCUAAGUGUUAGGGGGUUUCCGCCCCCCUUAGUGCUGCAGCUAACGCAUUGAGCACUCCGCCUGGGAGUACGGCCGCAAGGCUG
rnacentral:rRNA from 1 species